CAAAAGUGGUAAGUGGUGUCCCUCGGGGUUCUGUUUUGGGACCACUUCUAUUUAACAUAUUUAUAAAUGAUCUUGAAAUAGGCAUUGAAAGCCAUGUAUCAGUGUUUGCAGAUGACACAAAACUUUGUAAAGUAAUAAAAUGUGAGCAGGAUAUUGCUUUGCUGCAUAGGGAUUUGGAUAGAUUGGGGGACUGGGCACUAAAAUGGCAGAUGAAAUUUAACAUAGAGAAAUGCAAAGUUAUGUACUUCGGGGUUAAGAAUGCACAAGCAACUUACACACUAAAUAGUAGUGAAUUAGGGAUAACCACACACGAGAAGGAAUGGUGCAUUUUAGUUAUGAAGAAAGGUUAAAAAAAUUAAAUCUGUUUAGUUUGGAAAAACGGCGCCUGAGAGGGGAUAUGAUAACUUUAUACAUAUAUAUUCGGGGCCAGUACAAACCUUUAUCUGGAAAUCUAUUCAUAAACAGGGCUAUACAUAGGACACGAGGUCACACAUUUAGGCUGGAAGAAAGGAGAUUUCAUCUAAGGCAAAGAAAAGGUUUUUUUACAGUAAGAACAAUAAGUAUAUGGAAUUCUCGGCCUGAAGAGGUGGUUUUGUCAGAGUCACUACGGAUGUUUAAACUGCAUUUGGAUAAAUACUUACAUAAACAUAACAUAUAGGGAUAUAAUUUCUAAUUAGUGGAGUAAUAGCUGCUUGAUCCAAGGAGACAUCUGCUAUUUUGGGGUCAAGAAGGAAUUUUUUUCCUAGUUUGUGGCAAAAUUGGAAGUGCUUCAGACUAGGUUUUUUGCCUUCUUUUGGAUCAACAGCAAAAACAUAUGUUAGGAAGGCUGAACUUGAUGGACGCAAGUCUCUUUUCAGCUAUGUAACUAUCUAACUUCACACAGCACAUAGAACAUCACACAGCACAUAGAACAUCACGAAACACAUAUAACAUCAUAACAUCACGCAAC